rnacentral:rRNA from 1 species
AUUGAACGCUGGCGGCAGGCCUAACACAUGCAAGUCGAACGAGCGGCGGACGGGUGAGUAAUGUCUGGGAAACUGCCUGAUGGAGGGGGAUAACUACUGGAAACGGUAGCUAAUACCGCAUAACAUAAGAUGUGCCCGGAUGGGAUUAGCUAGUAGGUGGGGUAAUGGCUCACCUAGGCGGCGAUCCCUAGCUGGUCUGAGAGGAUGACCAGCCACACUGGAACUGAGACACGGUCCAGACUCCGACGGGAGGCAGCAGUGGGGAAUAUUGCACAAUGGGAUCAAGCCUGAGGCAGCCAUGCCGCGUGUGUGAAGAAGGCCUUCGGGUUGUAAAGCACUUUCAGCGAGGAGGCGUUACUCGCAGAAGAAGCACCGGCUAACUCCGUGCCAGCCGCCGCGGUAAUAC